GACGAACGCUGGCGGCGUGCCUAAUACAUGCAAGUAGGACGCAGUUGCGAACGGGUGAGUAACGCGUAGGUAACUACCUAUUAGAGGGGGAUAACUAUUGGAAACGAUAGCUAAUACCGCAUACUAGUAGAUGGACCUGCGUUGUAUUAGCUAGUCGGUAGGGUAAUGGCCUACCUAGGCAAAGAUACAUAGCCGACCUGAGGGGGUGGUCGGCCAAACUGGGACUGGUGCAAGACCCAGACUCCUACGGGCGGCAGCAGUAGGGAAUCUUCGGCAAUGGGGGGAACCCUGACCGAGCAACGCCGCGUGAGUUAAGAAGGGUUUCGGAUCGUAAAGCUAUGUUGUUAAGGAAGCGGUACUUAACCAGAAAGGGACGGCUAACUACGUGCCAGCAGCCGCGGUAAUUC
rnacentral:rRNA from 1 species